UACAGUGGGGCCAGAGCUGUAUCUCAGGCCAACCAGAAUAACAGGCCUGCUGUGUCUGAAUAUGGAGGGUUAAGUUUCUCAAUGCAGCCUUUCUCCUCUUUCAGCUUCACCAACAGACUGCUUCGUGAAGAGAUGUGUUUUAAAAUAAUUUAAUAUUGCAUACAGCCCCACUUAUUUCUGCCUCUCAAGAUCUCAUGCCGAACUGGGCACAGAGAGAUUCUCUUUCUUAGCCAGCCUUUGUACUUGUUUCUCAUGUUCCGAAGAGAAAUUAUUGGCUUUUCCCUCAGGGCUGCCACUCAGGAGCAAGGUGCUCUGUGAGCUUCGUCUGAGAGCUAAAGGAUGGAGUUGUUCUUCUGAUUCUUGGUCUUGUUAUUUAAUGAUAAUUACUACUGAGGAAAUGGAGAAAAUUCUUCAAUCUCAGCUUUUAAAGGAGAGGAACCCCCAAGGCCUGAAGUGGCAAGGAGAAGAAGUAACUGGAAGAAGAGAACAGAGGCCCGUGUAGAGAGGGCUGCGUAACAGUGACCGUGAUCUUCAGCUGAGCGAUGACAAGAUGAAAUGAAUGAGUGAAGUCACGUCUUUAAGGAGGGUGAAUUAACACGACACCAUUCCCUAAGUGAGUCCGUUUGGAAUAAAUGUGCAGCUGUGGCUGCGUGUACUCUGAUCCCCGACCUUCCUUCUACAUUGAUUUCCUUCUUCGUCUGUUCAAAUCUCACCUUCUCAGUGAAGCCUACGCUGAGUGCUCCGUUUACAGUCACACCCUCCCCAACACGUUCCCAGUCCUCCUCACCCUUCUGUAUUCCCCCCCAAAAAUGUAUCUCAUUGUAACAUUCUGUAUAAUUAAUUUUUUGUUCUGUUGUUGUUUUCUGUUCUCACUAGAUUGCUCCUCCAGGAAAGGGGCUUCCUACUGUCUAGAACAUAGUGUGUGUUCAAAACUGUUUGUUUGAGGAGGCGAAUUCCAGGAAUAUGGCAGAGUAGGAAGCACCAGGAAUCCAUCUGCCCACCCAGACAACAAUGGCAGUGCAGAAUCUGUCUGAUGUAACUGUUUUGGAACUCUGGAAUCAACUGAAGGCUCGCAACUUCCACAGCGUGGCCUGGACAAUGAGUUGUAGUUCAUUCCAGUCAAUCUUAGCUCUUAGUUUAGCAGCAGCUGCCCAUAGUACACCUCCAGCCCUGUGGUGGGCAACUGUGCAUGUGUUCCUGAAGCAGUUUCCACACAGUUAAAUGGAGUCAUAGUGAGCAGUAAGGACUCUGUCCUCCAAAUAUUGAGGAUCUGUGCUCUGACUGUUGAUGGCUGCUUUUGCUUAGGGAGGUUCACACAUAGAGUUGUGCAGCCAUUCUGGAGCCCACUCGUUGUAAGCCCCUCCUCUUUCAACUGAAGUGACUUCCAGGGGAUUUAAAGGGCUAGUGCCCUGACCUCCUUAUUCAUUUUUUUCUUUUUCCUCUUUUGGAAGAUAGACAUUAAAGACUAGAACAUCCAAAAGCAACUGCAUUUAAAGGGGAACAUAGAAAGUCACUGUGCAUGCCAGGGAAAGGAGCAGGCCAGAAAAGACCUGAGAAGACCUUCAGUUUACACCUCAGGCUGUUGCUCAGCAUGGAGACAGCCUACAUCAAUCAAGAAAACAAAGAUAAAAAAACAAAAACAGAAAACUGCGCGGAAGGGGAAAAACUGAUUUUCAGAGUUGUCACAUUGUUAGAUUCAGAUGUCCAAUUUUCAACAAAAAAUCAGAAGGCAUACAAAAAAACCCAGGAAGGUAGGGCUCAUUAAAAAGAAAAAAGUAAACCAAUAGAAACUGACCCUGAGAAAGAACAGAUGGCAGAUCUAGUAGACAAAGAUUUCAAACUGUCUUAAAGAUGAUCAAAGAACUAAAGGAAGAUGAGAGAAAGUCGAGAAAAUAAUAUGUGAGCAAAAUGGAAAUAUUAAAAAGAGAUAGAAAAACCUAAAAAGAAACCAAAAAUAAAUUAGCUGAAAAUUGCAAUAAUUGAAAUGAAAAGUUUACUAGAGGGAUUCAGAGGCGGAUUUGAGCAGAUAAAAGAAAGAAUCUGCAGAUCUGAAGAUAGGAUUGAAAUUGUUGAGUCUGAGCAACCUCAAGAAAUAUGAUUGAAGAAAAGCAAACGGAGUCCAAGGAACUCAUGGGGCCCAUCAAGUGGACACUUCAUGCAUUGUGGGGAUCCCAGGAAGGGAAGAGAAAAAGAAAAGGGCAGAGAAGUUAUUUGAAGAAAUAAUGGCCAAAACCUCCCCAAAUUUGAUGAACAACAUGAGCAUAAACAUCUAAAAGCUCAACGAAAUCUAAGUACAAUGAACUCAAAGAGAUUCUCACUGAGACAUAUAAUCGAACUGCUGAAAGACAAAGCAGAGAGAAUCUAGAAAGCAACAAGAGAGAAGUGAUUAAUCACAUAUGAGGGAUCCUCAAUGAGAAUGUUAGCAAAUUUCUCAUCAGAAAGUUUAGAGGCCAGAAGGCAGUGGACUGAUAUAUUCAAAGUGCUAAAAGAAAAAAAAUAAAACUGUUAACUCAAGAAUCCUAUAUGUGGCAAAACUUGAUAUAGUUUUGAAAAGUGAGGAGAAAUUAAGAUAUUUUGAGAUAAACAAAAGCUGAGUGAGUUCAUUACCAUUAGACCUGCUCUUUAAGAAAUCCUAAAGGGAGUUCUUUAGGUUGAAGUAAAAGGACACUAGACAGUAAAUCAAAGCCAUAUGAAUAAAUAAUGAUUCCAGUACUCCACUUUUUUUCUACAUGA